rnacentral:snRNA from 1 species
GUGCUCGCUUUGGCAGCACAUAUACUAAAAUUGGAACGAUACAGAGAGGAUUAGCAUGGCCCUGCGCAAGGAUGACACACAAAUUCGUGAAGCGUUCUGUAUUUUU